rnacentral:rRNA from 1 species
AACGAACGCUGGCGGCAUGCCUAACACAUGCAAGUCGAACGGAUGCAGCAAUGCAUCAGUGGCAGACAGGUGAGUAACACGUGGGAAUCUACCCAGUAGCCUGGAAUAACCGCGGGAGACUGCGGCUAAUACCGGAUACGCCCCUCGGGGGAAAGGAGCAAUCCACUAUUGGAGGAGCCCGCGUCCGAUUAGCUAGUUGGUGAGGUAACGGCUCACCAAGGCGAUGAUCGGUAGCUGGUUUGAGAGAACGACCAGCCACACUGGGACUGAGACACGGCCCAGACUCCUACGGGAGGCAGCAGUGGGGAAUAUUGGACAAUGGGGGAAACCCUGAUCCAGCAAUGCCGCGUGGGUGAUGAAGGCCUUCGGGUUGUAAAGCCCUUUUGGCGGGGACGAUGAUGAUGGUACCCGCAGAAGAAGCCCCGGCUAACUUCGUGCCAGCAGCCGCGGUAA